GCGUCGGUGGCGGAGCGGCCAAUCGCAAUAGACUGUAAAUCUAUCGCCCAAUGGGCUACGCAGGUUCGAAUCCUGCCCGACGCA
rnacentral:tRNA from 1 species